rnacentral:rRNA from 1 species
UACGGAGGAUGCGAGCGUUAUCCGGAUUUAUUGGGUUUAAAGGGUGCGUAGGCGGACGCUUAAGUCAGCGGUAAAAUUGCGGGGCUCAACCUCGUCGAGCCGUUGAAACUGGGUGCCUUGAGUGGGCGAGAAGUACGCGGAAUGCGUGGUGUAGCGGUGAAAUGCAUAGAUAUCACGCAGAACUCCGAUUGCGAAGGCAGCGUACCGGCGCCCUACUGACGCUGAAGCACGAAGGCGUAGGUAUCGAACAGG